rnacentral:rRNA from 1 species
UACGUAGGGACCAAGCGUUGUUCGGAUUUACUGGGCGUAAAGGGCGCGUAGGCGGCAAUUCAAGUCAUCUGUGAAAUCUCCGGGCUUAACUCGGAACGGUCAGAUGAUACUGCUUUGCUAGAGUGCGGAAGGGGCAAUCGGAAUUCUUGGUGUAGCGGUGAAAUGCGUAGAUAUCAAGAGGAACACCUGAGGUGAAGACGGGUUGCUGGGCCGACACUGACGCUGAGGAGCGAAAGCGUGGGGAGCGAACAGG